rnacentral:tRNA from 1 species
GCAGGGAUGGCAGAGUGGCUAUGCAACCGGCUGCAGACCGGUACAGGAGAGUUCGAAUCUCUCUCCCUGCU